CCUACGGGUGGCAGCAGUAGGGAAUCUUCCACAAUGGGCGAAAGCCUGAUGGAGCAACGCCGCGUGGGUGAAGAAGGUCUUCGGAUCGUAAAACCCUGUUGUUAGAGACGAAAGUGCGUGAGAGUAACUGUUCACGUUUCGACGGUAUCUAACCAGAAAGCCACGGCUAACUACGUGCCAGCAGCCGCGGUAAUACGUAGGUGGCAAGCGUUAUCCGGUUUUAUUGGGCGUAAAGGGAAUGUAGGCGGUAUUUUAAGUAUGACGUGAAAGCCUUCGGCUUAAACGGUGGAGUGCAUUUGAAACUGGGAUACUUGAGUGCAGAAGAGGAGAGGGGAAUUCCAUGUGUAGCGGUGAAAUGCGUAGAUAUAUGGAAGAACACCAGUGGCGAAAGCGGCUCUCUGGUCUGUAACUGACGCUGAGGUUCGAAAGCGUGGGUAGCAAACAGGAUUAGAUACCCCUGUAGUC
rnacentral:rRNA from 1 species